AUUAAUUGGCAAUGGUAGAGUCACGAACUGAGUCAGGACCGGAAGGUAGCAGCUAUAAGUGACGACACCAUGUGCCAUUUUUUUUG
rnacentral:SRP_RNA from 2 species